rnacentral:rRNA from 1 species
GACGAACCGUGCGAACGUUGUUCGGAAUCACUGGGCUUAAAGGGCGCGUAGGCGGGUGUGCCAGUCUGUGGUGAAAGCCUCCAGCUUAACUGGAGAAGUGCCAUGGAUACUGCACAUCUUGAGGAGGGUAGGGGCAUCUGGAACGGUCGGUGGAGCGGUGAAAUGCGUUGAUAUCGACCGGAACUCCGGUGGCGAAGGCGAGGUGCUGGACCCUUUCUGACGCUGAGGCGCGAAAGCCAGGGGAGCAAACGGG